rnacentral:lncRNA from 1 species
CCGUGGCUUGCCCCCCGACACCCGCACCACGGCCCCGCUCCCGUGGGAAGCCUCCCUCUCGACACUCCCGCUGGUGCCAUCGCGACGCUCCACGUCGGACCCCACCAUCUCGCCUACAAGAAGAUGCAAAAAGAUUAGUACAACUUGCAAGAAAAUUCCUAAGGAAGCAACUAGGGAAAAUCUACGCCGCAAGGUCAUGUACAACCGUCGGUAAAAAAAAGGGGGGGAGGAAAAGAAUCCCCCUCGGAAACGGCCCCAGGCCCGAGUACGAUACCCUCGGCCCAAGCCCAGUGAAACGACGAAGCAAAAAAAAGGAGAAGGGAGGAGCCCAGCCCCCCCCCCCCCCCCCCGAUCGCGUCUCCGCCCCCGCCUGCCUCCGCGGCCCGCGGCCUACACACCUCCGGCCCACCUUGACCGACAGAAGGAUGGGCCCGAGGCCCCGCGCUCGUCCACGACCCAAGUCCCCAAGGCGGUUCAGAAGGUCAGUAAAAAAAAGAAAAGAAAGGAAAAGACAGAAGGGAGUUGCACGCCUGUAGGGUGUUCGGCCGAAUGACCGACACCCCGGAACACGCUACGCGCGUUCUGGCAACGCCGUGACCGGCGCCCCUGACGCGCUGCGACUGGCACCCCCGACGUGCCCAGCUCCGUGUCCCGCCACGUGCACUCCUCACGCCGGGCGCGCUCCCGCUACGUCACGCCUCGACGCCGUGCCCUGCGUAGCGCCGGCUCCACGGCCAUGUCUCCCCGGUUCUGAUGCCA